AAUCACUCUCAGAUGUGAGAUUCAGGGAGGUGAAGGAAAGGUGUGGAAAUAUGAAUGGACAGCACCCAACACAAACAGCCCUCCAACAUCCAGUGAAUACAGGAUCAGCAGAGUUUCAGUGUCCCACAGUGGAGACUACAGAUGUCGGGGUAGCAGUGACUAUCUCUUAACAGGAUGCAGUGAUGCCUUCAGACUGACAGUUUCAUCAGGUAAACCCAGAGCCACACUGAGACCACGAAGUUCAAUCAUA